rnacentral:rRNA from 1 species
GACGAACGCUGGCGGCGUGCUUAACACAUGCAAGUCGAACGGAAAGGCCCUGCUUUUGUGGGGUGCUCGAGUGGCAAACGGGUGAGUAACACGUGAGUAACCUGCCCUUGACUUUGGUAUAACUUCAGGAAACUGGGGCUAAUACCGGAUAGGAGCUCCUGCUCCAUGGUGGGGGUUGGAAAGUUUCGGCGGUUGGGGAUGAACUCGCGGCUUAUCAGCUUGUUGGUGGGGUGGUGGCUUACCAAGGCUUUGACGGGUAGCCGGCCUGAGAGGGUGACCGGCCACAUUGGGACUGAGAUACGGCCCAGACUCCUACGGGAGGCAGCAGUGGGGAAUAUUGCACAAUGGGCGGAAGCCUGAUGCAGCAACGCCGCGUGCGGGAUGACGGCCUUCGGGUUGUAAACCGCUUUCGCCUGUGACGAAGCGUGAGUGACGGUAAUGGGUAAAGAAGCACCGGCUAACUACGUG